CCUACGGGUGGCAGCAGUGGGGAAUAUUGGGCAAUGGGCGCAAGCCUGACCCAGCAAUGCCGCGUGAAGGAAGAAGGCUUUCGGGUUGUAAACUUCUUUCAAGAGGGAAGAGCAGAAGAAGGUACCUCAUGAAUAAGCCACGGCUAACGACGUGCCAGCAGCCGCGGUAAUACGUAGGUGGCAAGCGUUGUCCGGAUUUACUGGGUGUAAAGGGCGUGUAGCCGGGCUGACAAGUCAGAUGUGAAAUCCCGUGGCUCAACCACGGAAUUGCAUUUGAAACUGUCGGGCUUGAGUAUCGGAGAGGCGGGCGGAAUUCCUAGUGUAGCGGUGAAAUGCGUAGAGAUGUGGAGGAACACCAGUGGCGAAGGCGGCCUGCUGUACAACAACUGACGGUCAGGUGCGAAAGCGUGGGGAGCAAACAGGAUUAGAUACCCGAGUAGUC
rnacentral:rRNA from 1 species